rnacentral:rRNA from 1 species
CCGGUGAGUGAUGAAGGUUCCGGAUCGUAAAACUCUGUUGUUAGGGAAGAACAAGUGCCAAGUAACUGAUGGCGCCUUGACGGUACCUAACCAGAAAGCCACGGCUAACUACGUGCCAGCAGCCGCGGUAAUACGUAGGUGGCAAGCGUUGUCCGGAAUUAUUGGGCGUAAAGCGCUCGCAGGCGGUUCUUUAAGUCUGAUGUGAAAUCUUACGGCUCAACCGUAAACGUGCAUUGGAAACUGGGGAACUUGAGUGCAGAAGAGGAGAGUGGAAUUCCACGUGUAGCGGUGAAAUGCGUAGAGAUGUGGAGGAACACCAGUGGCGAACGCGACUCUCUGGUCUGUAACUGACGCUGAGGAGCGAAAGCGUGGGGAGCGAACAGGAUUAGAUACCCUGGUAGUCCACGCCGUAAACGAUGAGUGCUAGGUGUCAGGGGGUUUCCGCCCCUUAGUGCUGAAGUUAACGCAUUAAGCACUCCGCCUGGGGAGUACGGCCGCAAUGCUGAAACUCAACAGAAUUGACGGGGGCCCGCACAAGCGGUGCGAGCAUGUGGUUUAGUUCGAAGCCACGCGGAAGAACCUUACCAGGUCUUGAC